AUGCUAGGGCUUCGGGCCCGCGGGGAGAGGAGCCUCUUUACCCCGGCGGACAGCGACCAGAGUCGGCAACGCCUGGGCCCGGGGCCAGCCCCCCAGCCCCGGAGGGGUCCCCACCCCGCGCUCUCCACCGCCCGCGGCCAUGUUGCCUCACAAAGGCCGGGCUCCGCGCCCCGGCCCCGCCCCACCCGCGGCCUCGGUCCCGGAGGGAGGCGGGAGGGAAGGGCGCGCCCUCGCGCAGGCCGCGGCGCCCGCCCGCCCGCCCGCGGGGCGCCCCUCGCGCCCCGCACCUACCUGAGGCGCCCGCGGGCUACCCGAGCCGCCCGCAGCCAGACCACAGCCGGGAGAGCCUCACCGACCGACCGCCGCAGCCAUCUGGAAAGCCUGUCCAGGCCCUCCGGUCGCCGAGACCAGCCUGCCGCGCCGGGCGAGCGGAGGGCGGACCUUCGCGGGCGCGGCCAAUCCCCGCACGCGGCCGCCCCGCAUUGGGGGAGCCGCGGAGCGGGCUGCGGAGGCCGCCAAUCGGUGGCGCGUAGCGCGCGCGUCCGCGGCGCGCGGCCCAAUAGCGCGGCCGCGCGGGCGGGACUAGACCCCCAGGCCGCUGUCGCGCUAACAGUCGCUGCCCGGGCGGGGCUCGCCGGACGGAGGGCGGCGGCCGCGAGGAGCGACGGGAACGGGAAAUGCCGGGAAUGCCGGGAGCAGGGGAGCGCGGGAAGCGCGGGGAGCGCCGGGAAUGCCGGGAACAGGGAGCGCGGGUUUUUUUCCCACCCUUCUGGCCUGGAACCACUAAAAAAUAAAAUUUCCCAUUUCCGGAAGCCCUGUAAGCUGAAGCUGGACAACUGUGAUCUGAGAACUUUAGGGAGGCCAGCGUGGGCCAAUCACCAGGUCAAGAGAUUGAGACUGUUUUAAUUUAAAUUAAUUUGGCAGUAACUGUUUUGAUUUAAUUUAAUGUAACUUAAUUUGGGAGAGCUAAGUAAUUAAACAUGAGGCCAAAGUACAUAAGAAAGUGGCAGUCUUUUAUUGCAAAUAUGCAUACACUCUCGGACGAGGUUCUCUGGUCCUCAGGUGUGGGGGGCCAGGGAAGUCGCACCGGCGCUCUCGGGUGAUGUUCUCCGGUCCACAAAUGCGGGGGCCGAAGAAGUCACGCUGGCUCCUGCCAGUGGCAGACUUUUAUGCAUUGGUACUGGAAGGGGGAGGGCAGUGGGCAGGAUAAGGGCGUGAUAGGGGCAUCUCCGUAGGCGUGGCCGGGUAAGUUUCUAUCUCUUCGGAUUGACAUCACCUGGAGCAUGCUCGGUUGAUCUGCAUCUUCCCGUGCGCGGGAAAGUUGGUGAGGAAGAACCCGGAAGCAACAUGGAUUAUGCCUUCUUGUUCACCUUCCUCCAUCUUGUCCUUUCUCCUUCACCCAAACAGUCCAACCUCUUAUUGAUUAUAAGAAUUUAGGGCGCCGUGGUCUGUCUGGCUGCUUCCUGCUGUUAAGGGGCGUAGUUAGGGUCUGAGGUUGGCAGUUGCGUGUAGGGAUGCAGGAGCAUUUGGUUGAAGGUGACUCGGGUGAUCUCUUGAACCUUGGCUCGGAGAAAUUUUAUUAGAAUGGGAGCAAGACAUAACAUAAGGCAGAGGAUUAGUAUGGGAAUUAGGAAUGGAAGCAUCUGCUGUACUACAGGCAGUAGCCAUACCGGUGGUCCGGGGGUUAAGGGGGCGUUAAAUUGUUGAAGCUAGGGAAACCCCGAUAAUUAAGGGAAGAAAAACAGCCCGCUUUUGGAUGUUAUUGCUGGAGCUGAGCUGGGAAGCUAGUUCAGACAAUUCUCCUUCGCUAUAUAGGGUUAAGCUAGGCACUAAAGAUACCGGAACGCAAAGGGACUGGGUGAUGGAGGUAUGGUUAAGAGUUUUAGAUAGAGUUUGGUUACACCAAAAGUAGCCUCCAACAGGGGCCGUCUGGGUCCUGCUGGGAGCUUAUGUGCAAUUACACCAUGAAGAGUUUGGCGUAGAGUAGCAAAAAGGAAUCUCUGUCUCACUCUGUCUCUCUUCAUCUCUGUCUCUCCUGAUCUCUGUCAUCUCUGUCUCUCCCCACCUCUGUCUCUCUCUCUGUCUCUCCACCUCCUGCUCACCAAGGCUGCUCCCCUCACCAACUCCCCUACCUCCUGGCUUCUCCCUAUCUCUGACUCAACAGGGACUGAGUGCAGCAGAGGCCCUUGGGGAGGUCUGGGCUUUCUACUGCCUUCUGGUUACAGCCUCUCCUUCCCUGUAUCUGUCCUUCAUCCUGGCCUAAUGAGUCCACAUUUUAUUUAGGGAGAGGGCAGAGUGACAACCCUGGGUGGGGGUGGGGGGGGGACAAUCUGCAGUGCCGUGCAUGAC
ensembl:lncRNA